rnacentral:rRNA from 1 species
AACGCGAAGAACCUUACCUACCCUUGACAUCCUAGGAAUCCUACCGAGAGGUGGGAGUGCCGAAAGGAACCUGGAGACAGGUGCUGCAUGGCUGUCGUCAGCUCGUGUUGUGAGAUGUUGGGUUAAGUCCCGUAACGAGCGCAACCCUUGUCCUUAGUUGCCAGCGAGUAAUGUCGGGAACUCUAAGGAGACUGCCGGUGGUAAACCGGAGGAAGGCGGGGACGACGUCAAGUCAUCAUGGCCCUUAUGGGUAGGGCUACACACGUGCUACAAUGGGCAGUACAGAGGGGUGCAAAGCUGUAAAGUGGAGCCGAUCUCAGAAAGCUGCUCGUAGUCCGGAUUGAAGUCUGCAACUCGACUUCAUGAAGUUGGAAUCGCUAGUAAUCGCGAAUCAGAACGUCGCGGUGAAUACGUUCCCGGGCCUUGUACACACCGGUAUCUC